CUGGCGGCGUGCUUAACACAUGCCCUUUAAACGGAGCGCCUAUGAAGGAGAUUUCGGUCAACGGAAUAGGCUGCUUAAUGGCGGACGGGUGAGUAACGCUUGAGGAACCUGCCUUUCUGAGGGGGACAACGGUUGGAAACGACUGCUAAUACCGCAUAACACAUAGGUGUCGCAUGGCAUUUAUGUCAAAGAUUCAUCCCUGAAAGAUGGCCUCCCGUCUGAUUAGCUACUUGGUGAGGAAACGGCUCACCAGGGCGACGAUCUGUAGCCGGACUGAGAGGUUGGCCGGCCACCUUGGGACUGAAAUACGGCCCAAACUCCUACGGGAGGCCGCUGUGGGGAAUAUUGGGCAAUGGGCGCAAGCCUGACCCAGCCACUCCGCAUGAAGGAAGAAGGCUUUCGGGUUGUAAACUUCUUUUGACAAGGAAGAGUAUAAGACGGUACCUGUCGAAUAAGCCACGGCCUAUUCUACGUGCCAUCAUCCGCGGUAAUCUCUAGGUGGCAAGGUUUGUCUGGAUUUACUGGGUGUAAAGGGCGUGUAGCCGGGUUGACAAGUCAGAUGUGAAAAUCUGGCGGCUUAACCGCAGGACUGCAUUUGAUACUGUUGAUCUUGAGUACUGGAGAGGCAGACGGAAUUCCUAGUGUAGCGGUGAAAUGCGUAGAUAUUAGGAGGAACACCAGUGGCGAAGGCGGUCUGCUGGACAGCAACUGACGGUGAGGCGCGAAAGCGUGGGGAGCAAACAGGAUUAGAUACCCUGGUAGUCCACGCUGUAAACGAUGGAUACUAGGUGUGCGGGGACUGACCCCCUGCGUGCCGCAGCUAACGCAAUAAGUAUCCCACCUGGGGAGUACGAUCGCAAGGUUGAAACUCAAAGGAAUUGACGGGGGCCCGCACAAGCGGUGGAUUAUGUGGUUUAAUUCGAUGCAACGCGAAGAACCUUACCAGGGCUUGACAUCCUACUAACGAAGUAGAGAUACAUUAGGUACCCUUCGGGGGAAGUAGAGACAGGUGGUGCAUGGUUGUCGUCAGCUCGUGUCGUGAGAUGUUGGGUUAAGUCCCGCAACGAGCGCAACCCUUAUUGUUAGUUGCUACGCAAGAGCACUCUAGCGAGACUGCCGUUGACAAAACGGAGGAAGGUGGGGACGACGUCAAAUCAUCAUGCCCCUUAUGUCCUGGGCUACACACGUAAUACAAUGGCGGCCAACAGAGGGAUGCAAAGCUGUGAAGUGGAGCGAACCCCUAAAAGCCGUCCCAGUUCAGAUUGCAGUGUGCAACUCGACUGCAGGAAGUCGGAAAGGCUAGUAAUCGCGGAUCAGCAUGCCGCGG
rnacentral:rRNA from 1 species